rnacentral:rRNA from 1 species
CGGAACGAGUUAUCUGAACCUUCGGGGAACGAUAACGGCGUCGAGCGGCGGACGGGUGAGUAAUGCCUAGGAAAUUGCCCUGAUGUGGGGGAUAACCAUUGGAAACGAUGGCUAAUACCGCAUAAUGCCUACGGGCCAAAGAGGGGGACCUUCGGGCCUCUCGCGUCAGGAUAUGCCUAGGUGGGAUUAGCUAGUUGGUGAGGUAAGGGCUCACCAAGGCGACGAUCCCUAGCUGGUCUGAGAGGAUGAUCAGCCACACUGGAACUGAGACACGGUCCAGACUCCUACGGGAGGCAGCAGUGGGGAAUAUUGCACAAUGGGCGCAAGCCUGAUGCAGCCAUGCCGCGUGUGUGAAGAAGGCCUUCGGGUUGUAAAGCACUUUCAGUCGUGAGGAAGGUAGUGUAGUUAAUAGCUGCAUUAUUUGACGUUAGCGACAGAAGAAGCACCGGCUAACUCCGUGCCAGCAGCCGCGGUAAUACGGAGGGUGCGAGCGUUAAUCGGAAUUACUGGGCGUAAAGCGCAUGCAGGUGGUUUGUUAAGUCAGAUGUGAAAGCCCGGGGCUCAACCUCGGAAUUGCAUUUGAAACUGGCAGACUAGAGUACUGUAGAGGGGGGUAGAAUUUCAGGUGUAGCGGUGAAAUGCGUAGAGAUCUGAAGGAAUACCGGUG